GCCUGGCCCUAAAUCUUGAUGCUCGAUCUUACCGGAGCAUCCGCCCGAGAACUACGAGCACCAACGCUUAAAACUCUAAGGACUUGGCGGUGUUCCAAACCCACCUAGAGGAGCCUGUUCUAUAAUCGAUGAUCCACGAUAUACCUGACCAUUCCUUGCCAAAUCAGCCUAUAUACCGCCGUCGCCAGCCCACCCCGCAUGAAGGCCCAACAGUGGACGCAAUAGCCCUACCGCGCUAAUACGACAGGUCAAGGUAUAGCCUAUGGAAUGGAGGCAAUGGGCUACAUUUUCUAAGUUAGAACAUAACGGCAAAGGGAUAUGAAACUGUCCCUGGAAGGAGGAUUUAGCAGUAAAGUGGGACAAUCGAGCCCUCUUUAAGCCGGCCCUGGAGCACGU
rnacentral:rRNA from 1 species